rnacentral:misc_RNA from 1 species
ACAAGGUAGCCGUAGGGGAACCUGCGGCUGGAUCACCUCCUUUCUAAGGUCGGAUCUUAUCGGAUAGGUUGUUCUUCGGAGCAGCUGAUGCCCUUUGAUCCCCUUUGAACAAAAGGGACCAGAUCAGGUCCCGACAUGCGGAACUUCGCCGUCUUCGUUUCUCUUUCUUUUCCGGGCGAAUGCGUUGGAUCGAUAAGCAAUGGGCUUGUCUCCACGCAUUCUGGGCCAACGCUUUAGGUCUUUGGCCUCGCCUGAAACGGUUUCGUUUCGGGCAAGCGCCUUGGGCCUGUAGCUCAGUUGGUUAGAGCGCGCGCUUGAUAAGCGUGAGGUCGGAGGUUCAAAUCCUCCCAGGCCCACCAAGCUCAAACGCAACGAGCCGAAGGCUCGCAAGGCCGAACGGCCGCCGCGCCGAGUGGCGCGUCACUCUACCCAAAAAGGGGCCUUAGCUCAGUUGGGAGAGCGGUAGCUUUGCAAGCUUCAGGUCGUCGGUUCGAUCCCGACAGGCUCCACCAAUAAUGCCCGGAAAUUCAGGUUUUGCUGAUUGUUGUCCUGCGAAGGACGACGAUAAGUAACGCUGUUUGUCAUUGUGAAGAGGGAAUAGAUUUGAGGAUGUCGCUACCCAGCGACACUCGCGUUGCGGACACCAUCUGCUCGCGUUUUACUCGGGUCUAUUCGGCAAGCAUAAAUGGUCUUUCUGAUCAUAUGUGCGCAGGCUUUGGUUAGCUUGCGGACAUCGAUCAUGAGAACGAUCAAGUGCCUUAAGAGCAUUCGGUGGAUGCCUUGGCGCUGAGAGGCGAUGAAGGACGUGAUACGCUGCGAUAAGCCA